AGGAUUAUAGUUUUACAAAAACAUUUAACUUGCAAUUAAAAAAUAUUGAAUUUUUCAAUUUAUCUUA
rnacentral:tRNA from 1 species